rnacentral:rRNA from 1 species
UACGGAGGGAGCUAGCGUUGUUCGGAAUUACUGGGCGUAAAGCGCACGUAGGCGGCUUUGUAAGUUAGAGGUGAAAGCCCGGAGCUCAACUCCGGAAUUGCCUUUAAGACUGCAUCGCUUGAAUCCAGGAGAGGUGAGUGGAAUUCCGAGUGUAGAGGUGAAAUUCGUAGAUAUUCGGAAGAACACCAGUGGCGAAGGCGGCUCUCUGGAACGCAACUGACGCUGAGACGCGAAAGCGUGGGGAGCGAACAGG